rnacentral:rRNA from 1 species
GACGAACGCUGGCGGCGUGCUUAACACAUGCAAGUCGAACGGAAAGGCCCUUCGUGGUAGUCGAGUGGGGAAGGGGCGCGUAACACGUGGGUGAUCUGCCCUGCACUUUGGGAUACGCCUGGGAGACAGGGCCUAAUACCGAAUCCGCCUACGAGCUUCAUGUUGAGUGGUGGAGAGCUUUUGCGGUGGGGGAUGGGCCUGCGGCUUAUUAGCUUGUUGGUGGGGUAAUGGCCGACCAAGGCGACGACGGGUAGCCGGCCUGAGAGGGUGACCGGCCACACUGGGACUGAGAUACGGCGCAGACUACGACGGGAGGCAGCAGUGGGGAAUAUUGCACAAUGGGCGGAAGCCUGAUGCAGCGACGCCGCGUGCGGGAUGACGGCCUUCGGGUUGUAAACCGCUUUCACCAGUGACGAAGCGUGAGUGACGGUACCGGGUGAAGAAGCACCGGCUAACUACGUG